rnacentral:pre_miRNA from 1 species
UAUCAAUAAAAUUUUACCAGGUUAGAUUUGCGAAACGUUGAAUUUAGGUCGUAUCACAAUUCUAGCCUGGCAAUUUUGCUUGAAA